rnacentral:rRNA from 1 species
GCGGUAUAGGUAAAUCCGUACUGCUAGUCGAACGUGAUAGUACUACAAAUCUUCGGACGCGUAGAUAGUGGAUGUAAACGUACUUCCUAGAAAAACCUCUAAGCUUCAGGUAUAUACAACCCGUACCGUAAACCGACACAGGUAGUCAAGGAGAGAAUCCUGAGGCGCUCGAGUGAAUCGUGGCUAAGGAACUAGGCAAAAUGGUCCUGUAACUUCGGGAGAAAGGACGCCCCACUCCGGUGGGGCCGCAGUGAAUAGGCCCAGGCGACUGUUUAUCAAAAACACAGGACUCUGCGAAAUC